AAUGAACGUUGGCGGCGUGGAUUAGGCAUGCAAGUCGUACGGGUCGGUGUAGCAAUACAACGGCAAGUGGCGAAAGGGAGAGUAACACGUAGAUACCUACCCUCUGGUCGGGGAUACCGCGGCAUAACCGCAAGUAAUACCCGAUAAAAUCUCCGGAUCAAAGGUGUGAUUCCGCCGGAGGAGGGGUCUGCGUUCUAUCAGCUUGUUGGUGAGGUAAUGGCUCACCAAGGCUAAGACGGAUACGGGGUGUGAGAGCAUGCCCCCGCUCACUGGGACUGAGACACUGCCCAGACGCCUACGGGUGGCUGCAGUCGAGAAUCUUCGGCAAUGGGCGCAAGCCUGACCGAGCGACGCCGCGUGCGGGAUGAAGGCCUUCGGGUUGUAAACCGCUGUCGAGGGGAAUGAAGUGUAGGUGGGUACUCCCAUCUAUUUGACAGAUCCCUGGAGGAAGCAUGGGCUAAGUUCGUGCCAGCAGCCGCGGUAACAC
rnacentral:rRNA from 1 species